AGAGUUUGAUCCUGGCUCAGAACGAACGUUGGCGGCGUGGAUUAGGCAUGCAAGUCGCACGAAUCCCAGCAAUGGGGGAAGUGGCGUAAGGGGCAGUAAGGCAUGGGUACCUACCCGGGGGUUGAGCAUAGCCUGUAGAGAUACAGGGUAAUUCUCGAUGAUGUCGCAAGACCAAAGCUCCGGUGCCCUCGGAGGAGCCCAUGUGGUAUUAGCUAGUUGGUGAGGUAACGGCUCACCAAGGCGAAGAUGCCUAGCGGGUGUGAGAGCACGACCCGCGCCACUGGCACUGAGACACUGGCCAGACACCUACGGGUGGCUGCAGUCGAGGAUCUUCGGCAAUGGGGGAAACCCUGACCGAGCGACGCCGCGUGGGCGACGAAGGCCUUCGGGUUGUAAAGCCCUGUCGAGGGGGAGAAAAGAGCAAUCUUGAUCUAUCCCUGGAGGAAGCACGGGCUAAGUUCGUGCCAGCAGCCGCGGUAAGACGAACCGUGCGAACGUUGUUCGGAAUCACUGGGCUUAAAGGGCGCGUAGGCGGGCUGCCAAGUCCGGGGUGAAAUCCUCCAGCUUAACUGGAGAACUGCCCCGGAUACUGGAAGUCUCGAGGGAGGUAGGGGCGUACGGAACUGGUGGUGGAGCGGUGAAAUGCGUUGAUAUCACUAGGAACUCCGGUGGCGAAGGCGGUACGCUGGACCUUUUCUGACGCUGAGGCGCGAAAGCCAGGGGAGCAAACGGGAUUAGAUACCCCGGUAGUCCUGGCCCUAAACGUUGAGAACUAGGUAGUAGACUUGACAUGGGUUUACUGCCGAAGCAAAAGUGCUAAGUUCUCCGCCUGGGGAGUAUGGUCGCAAGGCUGAAACUCAAAGGAAUUGACGGGGGCUCACACAAGCGGUGGAGCAUGUGGCUUAAUUCGAGGCUACGCGAAGAACCUUAUCCUGGGCUUGACAUGUGCGAAAGCGCUCGGAAGUAGCUUACGGAAACGUGGAGCGAACGGUAUCCAAUCCGGAACCGAGCACAGGUGCUGCAUGGCUGUCGUCAGCUCGUGUCGUGAGAUGUCGGGUUAAGUCCCAUAACGAGCGCAACCCUUGUCCUUAGUUGCCAGCGGUUCGGCCGGGAACUCUAAGGAGACUGCCGGUGAUAAACCGGAGGAAGGUGGGGACGACGUCAAGUCAUCAUGGCCCUUAUGGGCAGGGCUACACACGUGCUACAAUGGCCAGUACAGAUGGUUGCCAACCCGCGAGGGGGAGCUAAUCCUGCAAAGCUGGUCGUAGUCCGGAUCGCAGUCUGCAACUCGACUGCGUGAAGUCGGAAUCGCUAGUAAUCGCGAAUCAGCAUGUCGCGGUGAAUACGUUCCCGGGCCUUGUACACACCGCCCGUCACACCAUGGGAGUGGGCUGCACCAGAAGUAGGUUGCUUAACCCGUGAGGGAGGGCGCUUACCACGGUGUGGUUCAUGACUGGGGUGAAGUCGUAACAAGGUAACC
rnacentral:rRNA from 1 species